rnacentral:rRNA from 1 species
UUGCCAGCAUUCAGUUGGGCACUCUAAGGUGACCGUGCCGGCUAAAAGGUCGGAGGAAGGUGGGGAUGACGUCAAAUCAUCAUGCCCUUAUGACCUGGGCUACACACGUGCUACAAUGGGCGGUACAAAGGGUCGCGAACCCGCGAGGGGGAGCCAAUCCCAAAAAGCCGCUCUCAGUUCGGAUUGCAGGCUGCAACUCGCCUGCAUGAAGCCCGGAAUCGCUAGUAAUCGCGGAUCAGCAUGCCGCGGUGAAUACGUUCCCGGGCCUU